rnacentral:rRNA from 1 species
UACGAAGGGGGCUAGCGUUGCUCGGAAUUACUGGGCGUAAAGCGCACGUAGGCGGUCUUUUAAGUCGGGGGUGAAAUCCUGGAGCUCAACUCCAGAACUGCCUUCGAUACUGGAAGACUUGAGUCCGGGAGAGGUGAGUGGAACUGCGAGUGUAGAGGUGAAAUUCGUAGAUAUUCGCAAGAACACCAGUGGCGAAGGCGGCUCACUGGCCCGAUACUGACGCUGAGGCACGAAAGCGUGGGGAGCAAACAGG